ACUAUUCUGUAAGAAUGGUAAGAUAGGCCACAGGAUUUUGGUGGUCACACCAAGUGGCCAUGUUUGAUUAUGCCAUAGGUUUGACCAGUAUGGUCAUAAAUGUUUGUUGUUUUCAUUUCCGACCUCAGGAAAUGUAAAUUAAUACUCCCUCCAUCCAUUUUUCAUUCGCGUAUACUUCUCGGCAGUGACCAAAUUAAGUUUGAAAAAAAAAACCGUUUCAUUUUUGCUGUUGCAUGUGACGUGGCCCACGCCUGCAUGCAUGCGAAUAAAAGAUAGGACACAUGAAGUUUAGUUAGUAAGGGUAAGAAUACCAAAAUACUUUUGAGCAUUCUUCUGUCAUUAAUGUAACUGAAAUAAAAGAGGGACUGUCAGUGGAAUUAAUAUGAUUUAAUCUGGGUGUUUUGUUUAUGUGAACUAAUUUUAGUUUCUUCAUUUUAUUUUAUUUUAGUUCUUAAAAUGAGAAAUACAUAAAAACAGAGUUUUAGUUUUGGUAUCUACCAAUUUAGAAACUAUGAUGGAACAAAAUGGAGGACUAAAACUUAGUCUCUAGAAACUAAACAUCCCUUAGGGCUGAUUUGGUGACCAGGGAUCACGGAGGGAUUAGAGGGGAUUGAGGGGGAAAUUAGUUUAUUUCUCCCUCAAUCCCCUCCGAUCCCCCCGUGAUCCCCUUAUCACCAAAUUAACCCUUAAGGGCUGAUUUGGUGCUAAGGGAUCCUAAGGGGAUCCAUGAGGGAGGAAUCCCCUUGUUAUUCAAAAUUGAAUUGUAAGGGGAUUUCUCCCCCAUGGAUCCCCUUGGAAUCCCUUACCACCAAAUUAGCCCUAAGGGGUGUUUAAAUGCACUAGAGCUAAAACUUAGUCUCUAGAAACUAAACAUCCCUUAGGGCUUGUUCGUUUUGGUGAUAAUCCACAUGUAUUGGGUGGGAUUGAGUCGGUUUAAAUCCAUAACAAGUCAAAAUACAUCUCAAUCCCACCUAAUACACUCAAAUACACAUGUAAUAUCAAUAACCGAACAAGCCCUUAAGGAGAGAGACAUGUCCUAAACGUAUCCUCUUGGAUGGUCGCGUCCAUAUCCUCGAGCAGUGCGGUCUUGCUCAAGCAGCUUUUUGUAACGAUUAAAUACAUAUAGGACAUGCAUACGUCAGCAAGUGACUUAGUGUCGUACCGUGAAGGACGGACGACGCGACGCUCUCCAAACCGGUAACGAUUAUGCGUGGACGAUCAGUCUGCAUAGAUUGGAAUUUGGAAAUUUUGGUCUGCUUCAUUUUUUCUCUCGCUCAUUUUUGGCCCAACGGCCCAGCCCAUUGAGUAAAGCAACUGGUGCCCUAUAUAUACGCAAAAAGACAUGACUGCCUCUGCACACCGCCACUCGCCCACACGCGAAGGCACCUAGCAGCCGCCACUCGCCGAACUGAGGAACACGCCUGGCGACGGGAUACAGCAGCAGCGCGCCCCUCUAUCCCCGACGCGACGGCGCCCUGCAGCUGCAGGCACGGCUCCACACCUCCACUCUUCUCCUCCGUCUCCGUUCAUCUCUGCUGAGUAGUUGUGGUUGUGGCGUGUGGAUUAAUCGCGAUUAAUCGAUCUGAUCGGCGCUCUGGCGAUCAGAAACGAUCGACCGAUUAGAAAACAUUGGUGCUCAGGCAUCUGCAUCGGUCAACACCCCCCCUCUUGUUCUGUUCCGGUACUGCCUUUCAGCCCUCGAGUCCUACUGUAGGUGUUGAAGUAGUAAUUUGUUUUGUGCGCGCAAGUUCGAUUUCAUGUCUGCAUGUCAAUAGCUUUCCAUUUUUUGGUCAUCUAUUUAGUGCAGUUUUGAAGUACAUCAUUUUUUACCGAUUUUUCGUUACUCCAUCUGUGUGCCUGGGAAUUGCGGAUCCCCACCCACCCCACCACGUCUUCUGAAGGGAGUUCAAGAGGAACCCCUUGAAUUCUAUGGGGUUUGUCCGCUCUGAAAUUUCUUUUGCUAUUUGUUUCGAUUUUUUCCGAAGUAUCCAAACAAGACCUCACGAAUCUGCUUAUGUAUCAAUAAUGUGGGUAUAUCUAUUUGUUUGUUCUCAUAGUCUGGCAUAUGUAUUAUAGAUAAACCUGUUCCAAUGGGCAAACAAAAAGAGGGUGUGGACAAAAGAACUGCUAGGAAGAUGAUCCGAUCUACGGAAGGCUGUGCAAAGAGCAUUACUUUCGAGAGGAACAACAAAUCAGACGAUGUGCAGCUUCACGAUCUGCCGAAUGUAAGAGUAAUUCGAAAUAGUUCAAUGCUCCUUUUGCAGUAAGCAUAUAUGUGAAAUGGUUCAAAAGAGUUUGAUAGGACCAGGUAAUCAGUGGUUCAGUUUACUCGGCUGCUUACUCACGCUACUUACUACGUGCAGGACAUCCUAGGUAGCAUACUAUCACGGUUGACAUUCAGAGAAUCCUCACAGAUGGGCCUUGUUUCUCAUACCUGGCGGUCGCUGUGGAGAAGCUGUUGCCGGAAACUGGUCUUCACCAGUGCCACCAUGUUCCAACCCGGAAAUAGGAGCAUCAAACAUACAAGGACCAACUUUGCCAUGAGAGUCAACAGUUUCUUGCGUCAGCUACGCACUCAUCCUACUCUUAAUAAGUUUGUUAUUAAGUUCGGGCUGCGCAGGAAGCACACUCGCCAUGUCAACAGAUGGAUUCGCUUCUGCUCCGUGUCGCGAGCAAGACACAUCACUAUUAAUUUCACUCCUGGAGUGAAAGAUCUUUUCAUGGGUCCAGCCAACAGCAAGUACAUCUUCCCCCUGAACCUUUUCAGUGGUCCAGAAGGCUCCUCUACACAUGUCAGAACUCUUCAUCUGGGCUAUGUCUGUCUGGACACAACCUCGUCUGAUUUCAUGAUCUUUGCAAAUCUUAAGAAGCUCACUCUGCACAAAAUUUCCUUUUUGGGAGACCUCCAGUGCCUGAUGCUGCCAGAAUGCAAUUCUCUUGAGUGUCUGAGCAUCAGCUUCUGUUCCUUGCCUGGUUUAAGCACAUGCCAACCGCUGCAACGUCUGCGAUGUGUUCGUUUGCACUACUGCUAUCUAAAAAAGAUUGAGCUGGAAGCUCCAAAUCUAACAUCGUUUGACUUGACCAACCAACCAAUUCCAUUUGUGCUUGGUGGAUCUCUGAAUGUAAUGGAAGCCAACAUUAAACUGUUAGCUAAGGACUCACCUUAUGGUGAUAAUCUGGACUACAUCUACACUGAGCUUCCUGCUGCGCUGUCUCAUGUGCAUAAACUCUCGAUAACCUCGGGUCUCUUCGUUUAUGAUCAGGUUUUGUCUGUUGCUGAAAGCACUUAAGUUCAUUCAACUAUUACUUACCUUUAUUUGCACCUGACAUGUUUGUUCUUCAUCUCAUACAUAUUUUGACUCUCAUGGUUAUAUUUCAGCUGCAAGGGUUUUCCAAAACCUCAGCCAGAUUCAUCAAUCUGAGGCAUCUGACCAUGUAUUUGCCUCUUUAUGGGGAACCUAAGUCAAUUAGUGGGAUUCUUCGCUUGGCCUACCUACUGGAAUUGGCCCCAGCUCUAGAAGAAUUGGAAUUGCAUGUGAGUGGCUUACUAACUCUAUAAUCUGUUAUAGAUUUUCUCAAGGUAUGCCUUAUCUGUAGAAGUUUUUGUAGAGCAAUUGCAGCACUAGUGUACCAGGCAAAUUGUUUAUCAUCUUUGCUAAUUUUGAAUUGCCUGAAUAUUUAUUAUCCCUCAUUAAUCCAAAACUCUACAGUUCAAAAUUGCAGUAACAUAAAAGUUGUUGAGUGUUGAUGUUGUAGUUAAAAAAGAUUUAAAAAGACAAAAAAGUAGCAAUGUUGCAAUCAAUUGAACAUUGAACACUAUUGUACUUCAUUACCAUACAAGCCGAGGUGCCCAUGCGUUGGUAGUUUGCUUCAAGGUCUCGAAUACAUGAUAGUUUAAAAUUCUUUUGCUGGAACUGGGUGAUGUUCCACAGCUUAGAAAGUGGUCUUAUAAGUAGGCCUGUGGGUACCGUGUACGAAUGUAAAGGAGCAAGUCGAAGUGGUUUCAGCCAAAACAAAUAGACUAACUAUGUACAUUUCAUCUUCUCCACUUCCUCACGCAGCCACAGCCAUUAAUUCCCUCACACUGUCAUGAGCUCACGGUCGCACGACUCCUUCCCCCACUUCCUCUAUGCCUCCCACAACGGUGACCCACUAGGCGAAACAACACUUCUACGCCUCCCUCGACGGACAACCCACCCGAGCCCACACAUCUCCUGCAACGCUGCUCCUCCAGCGACUCUGCUCCUCGCCUCCUCCCACAACGGCGAAGUGCAGUUCUCCUCCCGCGAAACGGCAAGGGUGGCGCUGCUCCUCGCCGCCUCCAUGACGGCGCUCCUCCCGCGACCGGCUGCUUUGGCCACCCAACCAACAUUGUGCAUGCCAAGAAAACAAUGGUGUGGUUGAUGUCAUAAUAAACACAUAUUGGUUUGAGCUCUCACAUAAAACAAUUUUCGUAACAUUCACUAGUGAUGGACAGAGAAUAGACAAAAAAAACACAAGGAACAACAGCCAAUGAUGUAUAUGCCUGUGGCAUUGGGCUGGCUGGUUAAGCAUAUGGCCAACAGUCAUUUGUUGUCAUGUGGCCAAAUGUGAAUAGGUGAGGGUAGUAAAAUGAACCUUUUCCCUUCAAAGAAAUCAAACUUUUAGCCUUUUAUUUUACCGUUCCCAUCGUCUUCUCCAGCCAUUCUACAAGCAGAAGCGCUCCUCCUCAGUUCUGCGCAGAUCUAUCUUGGUUGUGCCCCCCCCCCCAUAGCUACAGUCCUCAUACUACCCUGCUUUCUUCCCCCCUCUCUGGCUUCUUUUUAACGAGGUUGUUCCCGCAUUCCCGGAACGUCCUGGUUUCUACGUUUGGGACCAAACCAAACAUUUAGCUCAAUAUCGCCACACUUAGGCUUUAAACCCCAAAAGGGCAAGCUUGAUGUGGCGGUGAGAGCUGUCUCACUUGAGUCUCAUCAUGUUGGUGAGAGCCUCUGGCACUGGGUCUGCUCUCUUAGGCUUUAAACCCACCAUAUGUCUGAUAUAUUUCAUUGGUCUCAUUUGUGUUGUGUGAAUCAUUUUCACCAAAUGAUAACUUUACCAAGCAAGGUUUUCAAGUCGAUAAGUCGAGUCGACAAGGUACCGACUUGGUGACUAGACGAUAAGUCAGUUGACUAGUCGUCGACUUGCCAAUAUAGUGGAUGUUUUGCCUAUAUAAUUGCUUCAUAUAGACAAUAUAACAUUUAUAUAUGAAGAAAUAGGAUGUUUUACCUCAUUUGAAGCCUGCAAUUGAACGAAACUGAAAUAAACAGCAAGUCUUACCUCAUUUGAAUCCUCAAACUGAACCAAAUCAGACACAUAAGUGAUAAGUCAUAAACUCAUAAGUCAUAACAGCCAUAUAGUUCAAAUUGGAAAACAAAUAGCAAGAAAAUAUAGUUCAAACUAGAAAGGAAAAAAGUCAUAAACUCAAAAGAAAAUAUAGUCCAACCCCUGUGAGGCAGUAGUGUGGCAGUCCCACCUGUCAACAUAGCUGUGGUAGAACAUACCACCACCACUGUCGCUUUUUAAGUAGUGAAGAUUAUUUGGGUGAUACAAUACAGUUUUAUCCAUUUCUGAAGCCAAUUGGAUUUUUUUGUAUUGGCAUUGAUGAAAGUAUGUGAAAUGUAAACUGUAAGUAGUACUUUCAUACGGAUGUCAAAUAUAACAGUCCUAAUUGUGAUGUUAUUAGGGUUACAUUGCUAGAGGACACUAGGACUAGGAUAGUAUGUGUUUCAUUAAACCUUACAAGUAUGUUUGAUUCCACGUUUAUUGGUUUCACAGGCCUGUUCUUAUUGUUUUCAUAUGUAUGAUGUGAUUCUAAAUGUGUAAUUUGUGUUUGCUUAAUUUCUCCUUGUUUAUUUUUUUCCCCACAUUCAUAUGAAAAAUUGAUAUGAUGGAUCUCAUAAGUCUGGCAUCUUUGCAUGCAGGUGAAUGGCGGUGGCGUGGAUGUUGGGUGGGCACUCAGACGGAAUAUGUUACCGUACUCACACAAUAGGCUCAAGAGGGUCCUUAUUUCAGGAGCCACUGUAUGGGAGGGGCUAAUGGAGCUGGCAUACUACAUUCUUCGGAGUGCCAAUAGACUCGAAAGUAUGGUCUUAGAUCCAAAGAUAAGGAUUGGGGGUCCUCAGCUGGAUGGUUGGAUGAUUGAUAUUGGUAGGGAGACGAUCAAAAAUAUUUUUGAGGGAGAGGAGUUUCAGAGCAUUAUUACUAUUCUGUAAGAAUGGUAAGAUAGGCCACAGGAUUUUGGUGGUCACACCAAGUGGCCAUGUUUGAUUAUGCCAUAGGUUUGACCAGUAUGGUCAUAAAUGUUUGUUGUUUUCAUUUCCGACCUCAGGAAAUGUAAAUUAAUACUCCCUCCAUCCAUUUUUCAUUCGCGUAUACUUCUCGGCAGUGACCAAAUUAAGUUUGAAAAAAAAACCGUUUCAUUUUUGCUGUUGC
rnacentral:lncRNA from 1 species